rnacentral:rRNA from 1 species
GUGUCAGCAGCCGCGGUAAUACGGAGGGUGCGAGCGUUAAUCGGAAUUACUGGGCGUAAAGCGUACGCAGGCGGUUUGUUAAGCGAGAUGUGAAAGCCCCGGGCUCAACCUGGGAACUGCAUUUCGAACUGGCAAACUAGAGUGUGAUAGAGGGUGGUAGAAUUUCAGGUGUAGCGGUGAAAUGCGUAGAGAUCUGAAGGAAUACCGAUGGCGAAGGCAGCCACCUGGGUCAACACUGACGCUCAUGUACGAAAGCGUGGGG